AGUUGCUGUUUAAGGAUAUUAUGAAGCUGAGGAUCAGCAAUUUCAAGACAUAACAGCAAGCCUCUUCACAGACCUCCAGGGACACAAGACCAAGCCAUAUCAGACUGAUAUUAAAGGCACAGGCAGGUCCAAAAGGCAGACAAAUGAAAUCCAACUAUCUUCUAAAAUUCAUUUGGAUAAGUUCUUUAAACAUGUUAAGCCAUUUAUACUUCUUUGUAAUAUAAACUAGUUUAAGGAAGAAAAAGACAGUCCUUUAUUAAACUAAUAAAAAUGUAAAUAGAAGUAAAAAGAAAGGAGAAGGCAAGUGACCAAGAACAUGACUUUUACUGAUAUUUUAUUUUUAGGGCCCAUACUCUGGGCCUGCAGCUUCUUGGUUUUCAUGUUGUACAGGCACAAUCAGUGGGUCCAACACACUUGUCAGGCUAAUGUUUCCCUCAGAUGCCUCCUCACACCACAACUACCCAAAGCAUCCUUUUCCUGGUGUAUCUUUGUGUCUUUUUCACCCUCUCUUCUGUCUUUCACAUUUGUUCAGCCGUUUUCAAUAAUCCCAGUUGGUGACUAGUGAACACCUCUAAUAAUCAUGGCUGUUUCCCAACUGUCAGGCCCAGGUUUGCACAGAUAAAGAAUACAAAAUGCCCCUGCAAUUAUCA